rnacentral:lncRNA from 1 species
CACGAUACACACUUGCGGAACAGCUCGCCCUUGCUUUAGUAGUGGCUGCUAGAAAAUUACGGCCAUACUUCCAGUCACAUCCAAUUGUUGUGCUCACCAACCAACCUCUCAGACAUAUACUUCAGAAGCCGGACGUCUCAGGAAGACUGCUGAAAUGGGCAAUUGAACUCGGCAAAUUUGACAUAGAAUUCAAGCCACGACCUGCAAUCAAGGCCCAAGCUUUAGCCGACUUCAUAGCAAAGCUUACUUCGAGAUCCUCAGAAACACCAGUCGGGAGCCUGAACUCGAUCUCAGGAGUAUGGGAAAUUUUUGUUGACGGAGCAUCCAAUAGCUCGGGCUCGGGGGCCGGCGUUAUUAUCACAAGUCCGGACAAGAUUACGGAGAUACAAUGCGCUCUCAGAUUUGAAUUCCAGGCUACCAAUAACGAAGUAGAGUACGAAGCCGUUGUUAUAGCCCUAGAACUCGCGAAAAAUCUUGAGUGCGAGCAUGUCAAAGUUUUCAGUGACUCGCAGCUAGUGGUCGGGCAAAUCGAGGGGUCUUUCGAAAGAAAGGAUGAAAAAAUGAGCUUAUAUUGUUUGAAAGUACAUGACCUCCAGAGGCAGUUCGUAAGUUGUGAAAUUCUGAAGGUAGCCAGAGCCGAAAAUGCCAAAGCCGAUGCAUUAUCCAGACUCGUCUUCAUGGAUGUUGACGGGCUCGAUAGAACCGUGCACAUCAAGAUGGUUGUAGAACCAAGUAUAGCGCAGAAGCCAAGUAUCAUGGACAUCGACCAUGAGCCCUCCUGGAUGGAUCUAAUAGUCGAUUACAUAAGUAAUGGCAACAUUCCUGCAGACCCUCGGCUUGCCCGAAGCAUUCGGUAUAGAGCUGCUAGAUAUUGCAUAAUCGAAGGAGUCCUGUUCCGCAGAAGUCUUACACUCCCUUAUCUAAGGUGUCUCGGACCCUCCAAGUCCCUUCAAGCAAUGACUGAAAUUCACGAAGGCAUUUGUGGAAAUCACCAAGGAGCCCGAGCUCUUGCACAUAAGUUGAUAAGGUAUGGAUACUACUGGCCAAGUCUGAAGAAAGAUGCCACAGAUUACAUCCGGAAGUGCGACAAGUGCCAAAAGUUUGGCAACAUCAUACAUACUCCUGCUGAGGAACUGAUAUCCAUUCACGACUCAGCUCCCUUCGAGCAAUGGGGAGUUGAUAUUCUUGGGCCUUUUCCCUAGGCCCGAGGAUAAUUAAAAUUUGUAGCUGUGGCAGUGGAGUAUUUUAGAAAGUGGAUAGAAGCCGAACCUCUAGCAACAAUUUCAGAACCGAAGCUCAAAUCAUUUAUAUGGAAGUCCAUCAUAUGCAAAUUCGGGAUACCAAAAGUCCUCAUCACAGAUAAUGGAAAGCAAUUCGACAAUCCCCAGUUCAAGAACUUCUGCGCCAGCAAUGGGAUUGAUCAUCGCCUGAUCUCGAUCUCACACCCACAAAGUAAUGGGUUAGCCGAAGUAACUAAUCGGAUUAUGUUGCAGGACCUCCAAACAAGGAUAGGGGAUGCCAAAGGUAACUGGCCUGACAUGCUGCCUUCAAUACUAUGGGCAUAUAGGACUUCACACAAGACAGCAACUGGUGAAACACCAUUCAUGCUUGCUUUUGGACUUGAGGCUACCAUUUCAAUCGAGGUUAGCCUCCCCACAAUAAGAAAGCUCGAGAUAAAAAAGGAGACACAAACUACCGAGCAUCUCGACUUACUUGAAGAGGUAAGGGAGCAAGCUUCCCUUAGGACUGCAAGUUACCAAAACAGAACGGCAAAGCACUUCAACAAGGUCAAGAACAGGAGAUUUAGAGCCGGCGACCUUGUCCUAAGGAAAGCAGAAGCCGCCGGGCACCAACUAGGGAAACUUGGACCGACAUGGGAGGGACCCUACGAGGUCAUAAGAAAACUUAAAGGUGGAGCCUAUAGCCUCAGAGAUACAUCGGGGAAUCCACUCCCAAGGCCAUGGAACGCCAACAAUCUGAAAAUAUAUUACAAGUGAUUAGCUAUAGCUAUAAUUUUCCUUUAGGGCUUGCAUGCCCGCUUCAUGUUUUCUUAAUUUCGUUUUUACUUUUCAAGCUCUAAUGUCCC